rnacentral:rRNA from 1 species
UACGGGGGGAGCAAGCGUUGUUCGGAUUUACUGGGCGUAAAGGGCGCGUAGGCGGCCACCGCAAGUCGGUUGUGAAAUCUCCGGGCUUAACCCGGAAAGGUCAAUCGAUACUGCGGGGCUAGAGUGCAGAAGGGGCAACUGGAAUUCUCGGUGUAGCGGUGAAAUGCGUAGAGAUCGGGAAGAACAUCAGUGGCGAAGGCGCCUGCUGGGCUGUUGCUGACGCUGAGGCGCGACAGCGUGGGGAGCAAACAGG